GACGAACGCUGGCGGCGUGCUUAACACAUGCAAGUCGAGCGGUAAGGCCCUUUCGGGGGUACACGAGCGGCGAACGGGUGAGUAACACGUGGGUGACCUGCCCUCAGCUCUGGGAUAAGCCUGGGAAACUCGGGUCUAAGUACUGGAUAUGACUCCACGGUGCAUGUCGUGGGGUAGGAAAGCCUUGUGCGGACUGAGGAUGGGCCCGACGGCCUAUCAG
rnacentral:rRNA from 1 species